AGCAUGGCCUUUAUAUCCUGGGCUACACACACGCUACAAUGGCCAACACAAUAGGUCGCUAAGCCGCGAGGUGGAGCCAAUCCAUAAAGUUGGUCUCAGUUCAGAUUGCAGGCUGCAACCCGCCUGCAUGAAGAUGGAGUUGCUAGUAACCGCAGGUCAGCAAUACUGCGGUGAAUACGUUCCCGGGUCUU
rnacentral:rRNA from 1 species